GAUGAACGCUGGCGGCGUGCUUAACACAUGCAAGUCGAACGAAGCACUUUAUUUGAUUUCCUUCGGGACUGAUUAUUUUGUGACUGAGUGGCGGACGGGUGAGUAACGCGUGGGUAACCUGCCUUGUACAGGGGGAUAACAGUUGGAAACGGCUGCUAAUACCGCAUAAGCGCACGGCAUCGCAUGAUGCAGUGUGAAAAACUCCUGUGGUAUAAGAUGGACCCGCGUUGGUUUAGCUAGUUGGUGAGGUAACGGCCGACCAAGGCGACGAUCCAUAGCCGAGCUGAGAGGGUGACCGGCCACAUUGGGACUGAGACACGGCCCAAACUCCUACGGGAGGCAGCAGUGGGGAAUAUUGCACAAUGGGCGAAAGCCUGAUGCAGCGACGCCGCGUGAGCGAAGAAGUAUUUCGGUAUGUAAAGCUCUAUCAGCAGGGAAGAUAAUGACGGUACCGGACUAAGAAGCACCGGCUAAAUACGUG
rnacentral:rRNA from 1 species